UGGGGAAUCUUGCACAAUGGAGGAAACUCUGAUGCAGCGACGCCGCGUGAGCGAAGAAGCCUUUCGGGGUGUAAAGCUCUUACGCCAGGGACGAUAAUGACGGUACCGUAAGAAUAAGCACCGGCUAACUACGUGCCAGCAGCCGCGGUAAUACGUAGGGUGCAAGCGUUAAUCGGAAUUACUGGGCGUAAAGCGUGCGCAGGCGGUUUUGUAAGACAGAGGUGAAAUCCCCGGGCUCAACCUGGGAACUGCCUUUGUGACUGCAAAGCUGGAGUGCGGCAGAGGGGGGCGGAAUUCCGCGUGUAGCAGUGAAAUGCGUAGAUAUGCGGAGGAACACCGAUGGCGAAGGCAAUCCCCUGGGCCUGCACUGACGCUCAUGCACGAAAGCGUGGGGAGCAAACA
rnacentral:rRNA from 1 species